GGGCCACAGCUCAGUGGUAGAGCAUUUGCCCUGCAUGCAGAAGGCCCCAUGUUCAAUCUCAGGCAGCUCCA